ensembl:lncRNA
CACACACACACACACAUACACACGUUAAAUGACCAUUUUGGCUUUCCAUACUCGCUGCUCCGUCUCGCGCACAGUUCCGUGUCUGACAGCGAGACCAAGGAACUCGGAGAGUCUGAGCGCGAGACCGCAGCAGCUGCGAACAGCGGAAGUGAAGACGGUGAGAACUGAAGCCGAGACACGAGAGAAGAAGAGAAGAGCUGUGUGCAAAAAGCAAAAAAUGUGUAAUAAAGGUAUUGUCAAGAGUGGCUUUGAAAAACAUCAUUUAUUUCUGUUCAAAAGCCUGUCAGAUACCGGCGCUCCAAUCCUGACUUUAGAAAUAAAUCCUUUUGAUGCUGGGUGUUAUACAUACAUACAUACAUACAUACACACACAUAUAUAUAUAUAUAUGGUUAUUUUAUCUGCGCGUUUUAUUCUAUCACAAGUUUAUACGCUUACAGCACAACCGCUACUAACCUAAAUUAAUCUCAUCAUACAUCAAUUAAUGCUGAUAUCAGAUUUGAUGGCAGUCUGUUUGGAGUGAGAUGUUUAGAGAGAGAUGUUUGGAGUGAGGUGUUUAGAGUGAGGUGUGAUGUUUAGAGUGAGCUGUUUAGAGUGAGGUGUGUUUAGAGUGAGGUGUGAUGUUUAGAGUGAGAUGUUUAGAGUGAGGUGUUUGGAGAUGAGCUCCUACCUCUGUUCUUCCCCGUGGUGUGAUGGGGUCGGGCGUGUGAACGCUGGCUGUAGUCAAAAAAUCCAUUGAGAAUUAUUAUUCAGCAGACAUGGAGCUCCGAGAUUUAAAACAAAACUAAAAUCCUCGGUUUGUGAUACUUUAAAAAGAGGAAACUCCAGAGAGUCUUCCACACUGUCGAUCACACUCAGCACUGAUUUUCCGGUCCGUAAGGAAUUUUACUAUUUAAUAUCGUGUAAAAAAAACUCGGUACUAGGUAAAGGUUAGACAGAAGACCGCAGAGAGAGAGUUGAACCUGGCAUGAACAUUCUCCAUGACUAUCUCGGUUGAAAUAAAUCGUGUAGUUGUCCGUGAUUGUUUAAAUCCGAGAGGUCGGUUCCUCCGAGUCUCGAGUUUUCAAAGCAGUAGUUCUUGGAAACAUCGUUCCGGUGUACCGAGAAAAAACGCCGCCGUCAAAUACUGCUGCGAGAUUCUCGCAGGUCUCACGUGAAACCUGUC